GCCGGAUUGGGGGCAAGGGAGGGGGAGCACAGCAGCCGCUGGGGGUAGAAUUCUCCCCGGAGCGUUCCACAGCCGUGGUUGAGCAGCGAGGAGAGUAGUAAAGCGCCUUGUGAGCUUUGCCCUGGGGAGCGGAGAGGAUGCUAUAGUGACGGGGAUAGAGCACUACUUGUAGAAGAAGAAUGCCUUGGUUGACAAAGCAAAAGAACCUGUACAGUCUGUGCAAGAGGAAGCCAUAUGUGUGGCUGUGGCACAUAAUUCAUGGACAUGCUGUUUUCUGUCUACAUAAGUGAUCCUCAGACUUUUCCAUAUUGGGACACCUUAGUUCCAGACCAGAACUAAGAUCCUUCUCACUUGACCAGAUGCCCAUGUGACAGACUGACAAUAUCCCCUACUAUACUUAACAACGUUAUGGAAAGAAGGUUUGAUGGGAGCCCUUGGGAAUCUACAUGUAAGCAAUACUCAUGUCUUCAUUCUGCUGCCAGCUUCUCUCAGCCUCCCCCUCCGCUAUAAAUCAACACAGGGAGAGAAAUAAACGAAGAAUGGGGAAAAUACCUCCUGGGAAACUGACUUUGUGAAGCAAGGUCUGCCAAUGAAUAACCUGGCCUUGUGCAUAUAACUUUAGAAUUAGUAUCUGCCAGGAUUCUACACAGUGUCCCUGUUCUGUUUUUAUAAGCAUCUGAUUGCACGGAACACAAGCUUUUAUAUCUUUUUCUAGGCCACAUUUCUAUUUUGUAAUAUGUUUCAAAUCGAAGGGAAAAAGCAAUCUCACACAAUCAAGCUAGAGCUGCCAUUAGAUGAUUCAUUCUCUUUCAAAGAGAAUUACUGGUCAAAGCCACCCAAAAACAACCUCAGGAUGAUCUUGCAAUUUUGCAGGGAGGAUAUGCCCAAAAAGAGUUAAGUAGGCCUGCAACAUUAGUCAGCAACACCUGUUUUACUGUGUACAUAUUCAGUUCUCUAUUACCACUGCCCAUAAACCCACUCUUUUUCCUCCUCUUUAAGAAGUUAUACGAGUUUGGUACAGUAAGACCAAACAAGUGCAUUCCAAGAGUUGAACACUUUAGUAUACUUAAUGGGUACUUACUCCCAUUAUAAAUUAUGUAUACUGUAUGAAAACAUAGGGCAUUCUUCUCUCACUUACUCUAGUGUAAAUCAGGAGUAACUGUGUGGAAGUCAGUGGAGUUACACAAACAUACGUGAGAGAAGAAUCUACCCCAGUGUAGCUACCAGAGUUGCCGCAUCUAAUGAUUUAUUGUGAGUCACCUGAUGUUUGAUUUUUUUUUAGCUUAUGGGGCCAUGUUAUUGUGUGAAAAUAUCAGCUUUCAUUUACUAUUUAAAAAAUUAAGUCUUCAGGGAAAAGCUUGAAUAUGCAAACACUUGACUCAAAAAAACAGAAGAACCCCGGAUUUUAUAUUGUUUAAAAUCUCAUUAGUUUGAAGCCAAUUGCAUGAUUUUGGGGGGGGCAUGAGUUAAGGUACUUGAACACUUGGGGUUGCAACACUGAGCUUCCCUUCAAUAAGGCAGGUGUAAGUGAUAGGUAAGACAGACCAAUAAGGAACACACAUGCACAGAACAUAAUGCAUUAGUCUGUUGUCCAGACUGGUUGCCCUCUAACUAGUAUCUGAAAUUCUAUAUGAUGAAUUUUGUGUCUAUUGAUCCUCAGCAAUAUGCCAGUGUCAAUACGUCUGCUUGUAGUAACGCGACGUGUUGUGAGCCAUAUUACUGAAAAGAUGAAUUGGUCACAGAGAACUUGAUGAAGGCUGGAAAGAUUGAGGGAACAGAUAACGUUUGCAGCCGAGAAGCUGUAAGAGAUGGAAAAUUUUACGUAUUUGGGCAGCUGAGCACAACAGAUGGCAAGAGCUUAGGGGAAAUAAACGCAAAGUUUGGGAAAGCAAGCAGUGUGGUCCAGCCAUGGUCACUGAGCUCCUGCAGUAGGAAAAAAAAUCAGUCAAACAUUAAAUAGAAGCUGGACUGCACCAGUGUUUUGUCAACAAGUUCAUACCAAACAGGCACUUGGCAGACAGAAAAGAUUGGACAGAGGAGGUUGAUGGGUUUCAAGGGCCAGCAUCUGAAAAAUAAUGGACAGGCUCAGAUGGUAUGACUACUUUAGCAACCAGGAGAUUUGAACAGAGAUCCACCAAUUAUGGGUCAAAGCGCAUUCAGCUAGAAAACUCGGCUGUGUAUCUGACAGGCCUUUUGUUUCAGGCUAGCAAGACAUACGAUUGUCUGCUGAGCAAUGAAAAGGUGAAGAAAAGUUGAUUAUAUUUAUGUGAAGGGGGCAAAUGUUACAAUCCAAUUUACCAGUUAAAGUGGUUUAUUAAAUCUUGUGAUUCAAUGAAUAAAUCCAGGUUCAUAGCUGGUAUAAAUUCAUAUAGUUCCAUUGACUUCAAUUAAUCUACGCUGAUUUACUCCAGAUGAGGACUAGCAGGAAUACUUUACAAAAUAUCUUGGGGUUCAUCCUGCAUUUGUGCCUUCCCAAAAUUCACAUCUCUGGGAAUUUUGGGUGGGUAAGAAAGGUAGGAUCUGGACUAUUACAUCAAAGCAACUAAUGAAGUUAUCAGAGAUAUGAGAAUUCACAUUUUUGUGAUAACCAGAGCUAUCUAUCAUGCUGAUCAAAUUCCACUGCUAAAUUCCCAUUGCAGUUCCAUUCAUACAUGGUGUCCUUCUACAGUCUCUUAAACUAUUGUGGAAAGUGUAAAUUCUGUGUAGUGCUAUUGUGUGCAGUCAUAGUCCAUACACAGAUGGCUGUAUGUAUGUGGUGGAUGACUUGAUUAUAUAGAAAGUAUACAUGAUUGUGUGGUGUACUCUAAAGCUUUUAUCAAUAUGAAAUGGAGACAGUCCAAUUAUUCACAAGCUGUGAAGCCACAACUGAGUUAUGCAAGAUCUGAAAUGAGUGCCAACACAAUCAUUAUAACAUUCUCCAUACCGUCAUAGGUAAGUGACAAAUGCACAAUAGAGUGGAAAAAAAUGUAGGUACAUAACAAACGAUAUUGGUACUUUGGGUUUUUUUUGUAUCUCUCUGCUUACAGAGCCUAAGCCACCAAAGUGCAGAGUGACCUUUAAAUCUUUUCAACAUCAGUGGAAGCAGACUAGAGGAAUCUAGAGCACUGAAUGGCAUGUGAGAAAGCAAUGAUUUAAAAAUGAUAAUGUACUUAUAACUGUACUAUUUUUCUGAUUAUCUCCUUGACAUCUAUUGCUACACACCCAAUCCCAAUUAUUUAUUCUUUGGCUCAGAUAAGCUUCUGAACUGAGAGGACUGGGUGAUCUAGUGUUCUGAGCAUGAGAGUGGAAUGUAGGAAUUCCUAAUUUUAAUGUACACUCUGACACUGACUGCCUUUAUGGGUUCAGGAAAGUCCCUACAUCUGUUAGAUGGGAUCAAUGAUACAUAAGAAUGACCAUACCGGGUCAGACCAAAGAUCUACCUAGCCCAGUAUUCUGUCUUCUGAUAGUGGCCAAUGCCAGGUGCUUCAGCAGAAAUGAAUAGAGCAAGUAAUCAUC